ensembl:lncRNA
GUCUCCCCUCAUCCCUGCUCACUCUGCAUUGAUUCAAUUCACAGGCUGAGUCUUGGAGCUCAUAAACAGAACAAUGUGCUUCAGAACUGCAAUUGAAAUACUGAAAUUGAAAUAUGGCUCCAGCCAUAAGUGGGUGCUCAGUUUGGGGAACAGAUGAGAAGCACCAGGCUCAGACUGAGUGUGGUGGGACCUCUGCAUCACUCCUGCACCCUGCAGCCCUGUUCCCUCUGCUCAGCAAGGCUUGCAAGGGCAGACAGAGCUCAAGGGUAACAGGAAAUGCAAAGGCACUACAGCAAAGUGUUCCUGUUCCAGAUAGCUCGUGUAACCCCAGUUCUGUCCCUGGCUUUGCAUCUCGUGGAAGCCUUCAAUGUCACAAUUGCCCAUUGAGCUGUUCUGCAAAAUUUCUUGCUUCAGUCAGUGCAUUCCACAGACUUUUACUGGGGAAGGAGGCAGAAAAUCACUAUUUCACUAUCAACUUCAGGACAUUUUUAAAAUUCAUGUGACCCUCUGGUGUGACCACCCUACAAGUGACAGACAGCAUUAAAAACCUGUUCAGGAGAGGAUCCAGAAUGCAAUCCAUUGCUGGAAACUGGAUGUGCCCCUCCAUUCACCUGAGGAACAUCAGCUCCAUUGCUGCAGCUCAGCCUCUCAGCCUCUGCACCUGAAGAAUGUUGGGUUUAUGGUAUUUUAUGGUAUAUGGUAUUUUAUUUCAUCAGGCUUUGUUGAUGAAAAUAAUUAAAGAGCUCUUGAAUCUUACACAGCGAAGGCCUCUAGCUAAUGUUGACUGUGGUGAUUAUGUAAAAUGCUGGAAAGCAAAAUUUUUUUGGAAAAGUUUUUUAAUAAUCAGAACAGAGGGUUUUGAAUAUUAGACAUUUAUAACUGUUGUUUUUACAAGAAGAGUAGAUAUAGAUAAAGGGGUUUUUUCAAGGUGUAGUCUGCUAUAGACAAAAGAGUUCUAUUGCAAGAUAUGCAGGAGAGGUGGAUCCAGUUAUGGACUGGAAUUGCUAUUUACUGUUUCCAUUUGUAGAAAUUAUCCCAGGCAAUCAGCCAUCUCCUUGGCUUUAAGGUGAGGGUGCUUUGAGGAGAGUAUCAAAAGAUAACUCUGGAGACAAGCACUGACAUGGAUCUCAUUUAUCCUUGCCUUGCAGCUGGAAGAUGUGUGUGCUCCUAGGAAACCCAACAAACCAGAGCAGAAGAAAAGACUGGAAAGUAAAACAUGAGGUUAUGGGGGAAAAUGCAAGAGAUACAGAAGAUCAUUUAGUCAAAUCUUGUGGGUUUAGUGUAAUACCACAAAUACAAUGCUCUGAGCAUUCUGAGGCCUCCUUCUUUAUAAUUCUACACCACAUGCUGAAUUUUCAAUUCUGUGGUUGAGAUACCUUGCAGUCACCUUGAUCUAUUUUACAGCUUUAUUUUCAAUAUUUUAUGUAGGUUGUGUGGGUCUUUUUGGCUUUUAUCUUUCUGUGAUGGUAGAGAUAACAUUGGCAGAAUACAGAAACAGCUGAAACAAGAUGUACUCUCAGUCUUCAUGGAAAUUCCAGUUAUUUUCUGCUUUUGUUGCAAACUAGUGGUGAAAUUGUUCAGGAACCAACAUCCAGGGCUGAACAUCUUUAGAAAAUCUUUGUCCCCUGUUGAAUAAAUUACCAAAGAAAAAGAAAGUAUGCUUUCA